UACGGAGGGUGCAAGCGUUAAUCGGAAUUACUGGGCGUAAAGCGCGCGUAGGCGGUUAGAUAAGUCAGAUGUGAAAUCCCUGGGCUCAACCUAGGAACUGCAUUUGAUACUGUCUAACUAGAGUGUGGUAGAGGUGAGUGGAAUUUCAGGUGUAGCGGUGAAAUGCGUAGAUAUCUGAAGGAACAUCAGUGGCGAAGGCGACUCACUGGGCCAUUACUGACGCUGAGGUGCGAAAGCGUGGGUAGCAAACAGG
rnacentral:rRNA from 1 species